CAAUGCAGACCUCCACCAGAAAAUUCAGGCACAGCAUAGCAUCUUGUCCGCAAGGUUGAUCAACGUAGCCCAGAUUUUACCGUUCUGAGGCGUUUUGUAAGGAAUCUCUAGCAUGUUAGCUUGUGUUAUUCUUGGAAGCUUCAAUAUGUGCGUGUGGUGUCAAUAGCCCGCUGCUCGCAGCAUCUAUACAGGUGCUCUCAGAAGUCUUGCUAUCUACCACGGUGUAGUUGAGCCUAUCUUUUAAACUACUACAAAGUAACUUACCAGUGGCAGGUUGGAAUUCCCGAAUUUAUGCACGAAGAAUUAAAUGAAUAUUAUGCUGAGAAAGCAAAAGGGGCCUUUACCAGAUCUCAGGUUAAAUGGUUGGAAUCUGGGGAAAACAACUCAGCAUACUUCUUUGACUUGGAAGAAAGGUUUCAUCACAUUAAAAGGAAAAAAAAGGCUUCAGUUGAUCCUCCUGGUUAAAUAAAGGUCAAUUAAAAAUCUCAUCCCUGACCCCAUUAUGUUCAGUUCUUCGCCAUUUCACCUGCAAAAAUGCAAUUAUUUCUUUGUCCACCAGAUGUCGACACAACUUCAAGUUUGUUAGAUUCCAAUCUAGAACAUGUAGUCCUUUAACUGCAGUGAACACGCCUACCCAUCUAUGUGUUACGAGCAAGAAUCCAUAAGUAAAAAACAAAAAACACAGCAUUCAUGUGUUGUAUAGCCUUAUUACAUUGUGUGCCGUUUUUUUGUAGAGUACAUGUAUUUGUAUGUUUGUAUGUUGUAACAUGCUAUUUGUAUGUUAAGACAUAUUUGUGUGUGACUGUAGUGCACACCCAUAUGUUUGUAGAAAAAAGGUUAGCGACCACUAGCCUUUCAGCAGACUGAAGUU